rnacentral:rRNA from 1 species
AUGAACGCUGGCGGCGUGCCUAAUACAUGCAAGUCGAGCGAACAGACGAGGAGCUUGCUCCUCUGACGUUAGCGGCGGACGGGUGAGUAACACGUGGAUAACCUACCUAUAAGACUGGGAUAACUUCGGGAAACCGGAGCUAAUACCGGAUAAUAUAUUGAACCGCAUGGUUCAAUAGUGAAAGACGAUUUUGCUGUCACUUAUAGAUGGAUCCGCGCCGCAUUAGCUAGUUGGUAAGGUAACGGCUUACCAAGGCAACGAUGCGUAGCCGACCUGAGAGGGUGAUCGGCCACACUGGAACUGAGACACGGUCCAGACUCCUACGGGAGGCAGCAGUAGGGAAUCUUCCGCAAUGGGCGAAAGCCUGACGGAGCAACGCCGCGUGAGUGAUGAAGGUCUUCGGAUCGUAAAACUCUGUUAUUAGGGAAGAACAAAUGUGUAAGUAACUAUGCACGUCUCGACGGUACCUAAUCAGAAAGCCACGGCUAACUACGUG